rnacentral:rRNA from 1 species
UAGGGAAUCUUCCACAAUGGACGCAAGUCUGAUGGAGCAACGCCGCGUGAGUGAAGAAGGUCUUCGGAUCGUAAAGCUCUGUUGUUGGUGAAGAAGGAUAGAGGCAGUAACUGNGCUUUAUUUGACGGUAAUCAACCAGAAAGUCACGGCUAACUACGUACCAGCAGCCGCGGUAAUACGUAGGUGGCAAGCGUUGUCCGGAUUUAUUGGGCGUAAAGCGAGCGCAGGCGGAAUGAUAAGUCUGAUGUGAAAGCCCACGGCUCAACCGUGGAACUGCAUCGGAAACUGUCAUUCUUGAGUGCAGAAGAGGAGAGUGGAACUCCAUGUGUAGCGGUGGAAUGCGUAGAUAUAUGGAAGAACACCAGUGGCGAAGGCGGCUCUCCGGUCUGCAACUGACGCUGAGGCUCGAAAAGCAUGGGUAGCGAACAGGAUUAGAUACCCUGGUAGUCCAUGCCGUAAACGAUGAGCGCUAGGUGUUGGGGACUUUCCGGUCCUCAGUGCCGCAGCAAACGCAUUAAGCGCUCCGCCUGGGGAGUACGACCGCAAGGUUGAAAC